rnacentral:lncRNA from 1 species
GAGAAACUGGUAACGGUUCAGACUUCCCCAGGGCUUGGCUUUAGAGUAGAUGGGGCUUUCGUUCAAAGUGAGUUUCUCUCUCUUCCCAUUGCUACCCUCCUUACUGGGCUGUGAUCACCUGGUUUGGCCAUCUCCUGCUGCCUCACGUGGUGAUAGGUGAGCAGUGUCUUACAGUGUGAGCAUUGGCUUUCAAUCAUGCACACACGCAUCCAUCCCGUUUAAAUCAACAAUUCCUGUUUGCAGCUCCUACUGUGCGCUGCUGCUGUGCGAGACAACAGACUAUGCAGGAGGCUGAGUGGUCCGAUGCAAAUUUUGUAUUGGGACCACAUCCCAAACUGUGAUUGGAAUGAAAGGGACAGUAACAGUGACGCUAAACGGCAAACAGUGGGAGCCGUUCCAGUAUCAAUAAGGAUUUUGAUGAGGGAGCGAGUUUGUUUGCUUGGCUGCAAAGGCCUUGGAAUCCAGUGCAUUAGACACUAUUAUACACACUCCAUCUUCUGUGAGCAUCGCUCCCAGCUGGCACGAGAGGUCUGGGACUGUCGGCACGUCAGGAAGAACCCUCCUAAAAGCUUGGAGUGUGCAGGAUGA